rfam:Triticum aestivum genome assembly, contig: Triticum_aestivum_CS42_TGACv1_scaffold_376185_5AL
UACUUACUCCCUCCGUUUGGAAAUACUUAUCAUUGAAAUGGGUGUAUCUAGAUGUAUUUUAGUUCUAGAUACAUCCAUUUUCACCCAUUUUGAUGACAAGUAUUUCCGGACGGAGAUAGGCAGCUU